UUUUCAUUUGCAUACAUUUUCAUAUAUUUUGGUGAAAAUAAUAGACUGGUGGAGAGCUGGGUUUAGAAGAGUCAGUAUAAAGGGAAGACUAAGGAUGCAUCGGUUCUGGGGAGUUGAGAAUAUGCCUCCCCCCCCCCCAGGCACCUUUAAAAAAUAAUAAAACAUCUUCUUUUAUUUUAAAAUCUAAUCCUGGAAGUUUGUUCGGUAAAGCCACUUUAAGGCAACACGGUUUCCUGCGUCCUUUGUGUUCCCCUGUCCUGUGGUCUGGAGACAAAGCUGGGGAACAAGACUCAGCUGACCUCUGACAUUAUGGAGCUACCCUUGAGUAAGGGAGAUGGACGGAUGGCACGCGAGGGACCAAACAGAGAGAGGGUCACACGUGGAGUUGACUAGCACAGUUAUGGAGGGCAGGAAGUCCUACAAUGUGCUGUCUGCAAUCUGGAGACCAAGGAAAGCUGCUCAUGUAACUCACCUCAAGUCUGAAGACCUGAGAAUCACAGGGGUCCCUGGGGAGAAACUCUGUAAAUUCUAGCUGGAUUCUGAAGGCCCAAGACCCAGAAACUCUGAUGCCCGAGGGCAGGAGAAGAUGGAUGUCUCCACCUUUCUUCUGUCUUUCUCUUCUAUUCUGGUCCUCAAUGGAUUAGAUGACGCCUACUGCAUCGGUGAAGGUGAUCUUCGUUACUCAUCUACUCGUUCAGAUGCAAAUCCCUUCCAGAAACGCUCUCACAGACACAUCCAGACUUAUGUUUUACCAGCAGUCUGGGCAUCUCUUAGCCCAGUCAAGUUGACACAUGAGAAUAAUG